AAAAAAUCUUUUUUAGCUUUCCUUUAUCAUGUUUAUAUUAAGUUGAGUUACUUUCAAUCAUUUUAAUAAGAAUAAAAAUAUAAAUCAUACAUUUUCUUUUCUCAAAGCAGAAAAACUGAAGGUGCCACAUUUGUUGAACAUUUGAAUGGUGUUUAUUUGAUCUUUGUUCCAUAUUAAAUAUUUCUGUCACUGAAGAUUGAGUAACUUUUGUUUCUUACACUCUAGUAAUAAAUCCUGCAGUUGUACAUUGUGUACGUUAAAUAAUGUGUUAUCAUGUCUAAUAAAUGAUUUGU
rnacentral:misc_RNA from 1 species